AUGAGCAUUCGAAGCCUGGAAACCUUUUAGAGGUGGAAAAGCUAUGCAGACGUAACAGAUGUCUGAACAUCAGCACGGGAAGCUGGAGAGAGGGAGGGAGACCGAACAAAAGCCAUUUAAUCAGCAUUUGAAUAAAAAGAAGAGUGAACAGAGUGCCGGUGCCAGUGACUGGGUGAAACGAAAGCUAAAUCAGCAUAUUCGCAAUAAACAUAGGAAAUUUGAAAGUCAGGAUCCAGCCCAACUCUGUGUAUCAAACAUACCUGAAUCGCAAUAUUUGGAGGAGGACAAUCCAUUGAGAAGAACAGCCUCAGAGCCGAUUCUGAAGCUGCGACCGAAGAGAAGUGCGUCGGGAAGACAGAACCCACUGCUGCGUAAAACCAGUGCGCCCCCUGCUGUCAGAGCAUCUGACUCUAUGGGGGGAUCCUCCAGUUCUACUCCAGUAUCCUUAAGAAGUUCAUCAGCAGAAAAAAAAAUGAGCCAUCAAGAGCCACAAACCUAUAGCACAUCAUCACCACAACAGUAUGAAUCUCCUGUACACACUGGUGUUCAGAACACCAUGCUCUGGACUAGAUAUGAACAGCCGGUCUUUGCCUUGCAUUCACCUGUUCUUACAGGUAACACACAACAUUCACUAAUCUUGAGACCAAUAAAUCAGUGUAAAUGA
ensembl:lncRNA